AGGGGCGACUAGUGACUAAGGGAGAUAAAUGUCCUGAUUGUCCCCGGUCUCCAUGUAAAUAGAAAUGUAACUGGCACCGGGCUGCAGGGUCACGUGCACAUUCUCUCAUGAAAAUAUUAGGCCCAUAGUACAUUCGAUUGUUUGCUUUUAUGACCAGUAAGUCAUUAACAUAAUGCGUUUUAUUAUUAGCCUACUUUGAACAGAUGAGACGCAAUCACCAGCGACCGGACGAGAACCCCCACGGAUGCCUCCACGAUGACUUGGAUGGGGAUGUUGAAGUCUCGGAGAAACAUUGUUGCCAGUGGUGCGCUGGGAAAUUGGAGAAAGUUUUGGAGCAUUUACUGAUGGCAACACACCUGGGACAUCCUGCCGGAACGCUGGGCUGCGAAGAUGGGUCAGGAUUCAUCUCUGACCACGUAGGGAGGCGAUGACCGUCUCUGUGUUCGGUGCUGGAGGGCUGCAGGGGGCCCAGGUGGGGUCAGAGGAGUCCUGUGCAGUACAGGAGUGAGCGUGGAAGGCAGGCUUUCUGGGAGGUGCUGGAGCUUGAGUUGAAUCACCAGAAGUGUCCCUGUUUGAACCUGUUUUUAAGACCGAAUUCAUGUCAAAUGAAAGCCGAAUGCUGACAAUAAAAACGGCAGCAGCAAGCGUUUACUGAGCACGUCCUAUGUGCUACGCAGGCACUCUGCCAAAGCCGGGUAUUAUUAGCUCGUGUAACCUGACAGCAACUUUACGAAGAUGAUACUCUGGGGGGCCCCUCUUUUAGGUGAGAAGAUCGAGGCACAGGGAGGUUAAUAACUUGCCACAGACCACGGAGCUCGUGAAAUGUGGAACUGAGGUUGAACGCAGGCUCUGUGACCCUGGAGCUACAAUCUCCACCACUGAGGACACACUGCUUCAAAUAACUCCACAGUAUACAAUGUAACGGAAAGUUUCCCGGGAGUUCGAAUUGAGCAAACAGGACCGGUUUAAACCACCACACAUGCCCUCAAGAGCCCGGGGCCACCACGUCAGUCUCAUAUUGGCAGAACGAUCAGAUGUUCCGAUCACAGAGCCCGCCAGCUUGGCGACAGUUCAUUAGCUGUAAGUGUAGUCGUAAAUGUGCCAUGAAGAAAUUUUCUGUAACCAAUUCCAGUAAUAAUUGGAUUAGAUACUUUGUUAGUGCAGGUUUCAAUAAAGCUGCAAUGUGAACUUCACGUUCAAAUGAGCAAAACUGUUUGGCAGAGAUCAAAUGACAGCGCAUUAAAUUGGCACCGAAGAUCACCCGCUGGCAGAGUUUUGGUUAAGCACAGGGUCGGAUUAUCUUGAACCGGCAAACAAAGCUUUGAAAUUAUUAAUGCCGUUUUGUACAACGUACCAUGCAAAUAGAGGUUCUCUGCCUCCCUGUUAAUGGAAGUCAAAGCACAGAGCAAUUUAAAAGAAAGGGAUGGACCUGAGGCCAUAGGGUCUUAUUUUUAAACACAACAUGUGUGAGUUAACUUAACAAAACAUGAUCUCGUAGAGUAAAUUGAUGGUGCUCAUUUAGGAGCGC